AGUGGCGGACGGGUGAGUAACGCGUGGGCAACCUGCCCCAUACAGGGGGAUAACAGCCGGAAACGGCUGCUAAAACCGCAUAAGCGCACAAGGGCCGCAUGGCCUGGUGUGAAAAACUCCGGUGGUAUGGGAUGGGCCCGCGUCUGAUUAGCUAGUUGGUGGGGUAACAGCCCACCAAGGCGACGAUCAGUAGCCGGCCUGAGAGGGUGAACGGCCACAUUGGGACUGAGACACGGCCCAAACUCCUACGGGAGGCAGCAG
rnacentral:rRNA from 1 species